GACAACAAUAUACAUUCAACCAAACACCAUAUUAUAGCGGCUGCAAAUCUAAUCUGCCGCUAGGGUUUUAUAACAAUUUUCCACUAUAAAACUAGCCUUUCUUCUCCUCUCUCUCCAUCCUAUUCAGUUUCAUUCCCACCUCUUCCUUUCUCAAGCCAUAGAAGAAAUCUAUCGCCGACUUAAUCGGGCUUACGUUUCUGUUUUUAAAAUUCGAUUUUUUAUGAGAUGAGGAUAAUGGAGCGGAGAUGAUUUAAUAUCAAAUGAUCCCGAUAUCUCCUUGCUACGUUCUUUCUGAUCAUAAUAUUUGGUUUGUUUUAAUCUCCUUUUUAUAUACUCUUUAGUUCUGUGUUGAUUUAUGUUGCUUUGGAUUAUUUUUUUUUUGAGAUUUUGCGUGGAUGCGAGAAUUGAAAUCAUCAAAGAUGAUGAAAUCAGAAAAAUCUUAGGACACCUUCUGACACAGUUUGACAAUGCUGUGUAUGAGAAAGCAUUUUUUGUUUCUGAUUUUGAUGAUUUCUUUAUAAAAAUUUGUAUCCAUUGCAGAUCGUUUUUUCCGAUUAGAUUCAUAAAAUUUUCAACAUCAAUAUUGCGAAACUUAUUAUCAAAAAAGAUUAUUUUUUUAGGGUUUAAUGACUUGUCCUGAAUUGGUUAUCGUGCAUCCAAAUUUUGUCUUUAAGUUUAUUUUACAUAUUUACUUAUUUAGUCUUUUAUGGUGUUAGUUUAUAACAAUAAAUUUUAUAUUUUUACACAUUGAAUUCUCUACGAUUUCGGGUCAGAUCAUAGAAAAAUAGCCUAUCAGUGGUACUCUAUAGUCUAGAGAGAUAAAAACUAACGCAUACGGGAAUAAAAGUUAUAGAAUGAAGUUUGAUAGAAGUGUCAAACAUUCGUUGAACUAAUACUAAUACAGUUAGUGUAUUGUUUAUCAUUCCCUCUCAUUGCAGUUGUGAAAUCUGAAGUAUUCUGGAGAAGAAGACGAAUCAAAAUAGAUGGGGCUUCUGGAUAUCGAAGAUGUCUUGUAUCUCCCCUCGUUGCAAAAGGAUCUAAAAUACUCAUCAUUUAGGUGAUAGGACUUCGUAUACUAUUCCAAUGUACUUACUUCAAAAUUGUCUAUUAUCAAAGUUAAAUAAUCACAUACAUUUACAACCCAAGGAUCAAAUCAAACCCUGAUUUUAACUAGCGAAUGUAGGUUCUGACACCAGAGAGACAUGGUUUCCGAUCUAUCAAGUGUAAGGGGAUAUGUUAGUUGAACCUACGUGCACAUGAAUAACAUCAACAAUCUCCUUAAGAGGAGACAUGGUUGUAUAUACUUUGCCUCAUUCCAAACAUAUCUAGAAUAUAGAUUCAUCUAAUAAAAAUCACAAAAUGCAUAAUCUAUAUCAUCAAUAUUCAAUUCGGAAAGAUGAUUAGAACUAAUGACAAUUCAUUACCAUGUAAGAUAUGAUACCCACCGGAAGACCAUCAACGGUCAAGUAACUACUAAGAAUUUUCCUUAUCUGAUAAGACGCCGGAUUUUGCGAGAACAUGCUUCCAUGAAUGUAUUCGACUAGACAAUUCCAUACAUAGCUAUGUCAAUAAGUAAUUUCGAACAAAAAAUCAAUUUUACGACAUGAAACUGCAAAGUUACUCAAAUUGAAUAAGAUACGUAGUAUAGUUAAACGAAAGCGUUUGCGAUGAUUGCUGUGGUCUGCAGAGGAGAGUGUCAAAUGAGUUUUUGGAGAUGGAUUCUUGUAAGCGACUCCAUAGAGAAGUAGAACUCUGAACGGGAAGGGAAACUAUGCAGUAUCUUGUAGAGAUUGUUGUUCAUAAUUCUUAGAGGUUCCCGAUUUGUGAAUUGAAAUAUGGUUUUGCAACAGAGAAUCAAAAGGGGGAAAAUUAACGAGAUCUCUCCUCUCUCCAGGCAGUUGUCUGUCGGAUCAACAACCCGGUCCCCCUUUUUCAAUGACAUUAAUGGGGUGUUUGGAUAGGAAAAAAUAAGCUGUUUAUUAUUUAAUCC
rnacentral:lncRNA from 1 species